AACAUUCAACAAAGCUCCCUUCCUCCUCCCCUUGGCUACGACCCCAACACACACACAUAUCCAUCCUUUUCAAUCCAUUACCAAGCAUUCCAAGGUGAUAUUAAGGUGUAAGGAGGCCACUAACGAAGCUCGGUGCAAGCGGAUCUUGAGGGACCUUCUCCAUUUGCUUUUAUCCACCACUUUUACCCUUUGAAACUUCCCUAGUCUUGUGCUAGUAGCUCGUUUUGUCAAGUCUGAUGGUCACGGCGGGUUAAUUAAAGCAAAUCCGGUGAAGUUUACGACGCAAGGAACACAAAGUUGUAACUAAAGGUGGAUGUGCGCGCGGUCCUACUCAUGCUUAGGGAUGUCGUCUAUGUUAUGUUUAAAUAAAGUUGUAAACUUUUAAGACAAUGUUUCAUGCUAUCAUCACGAUGUAAACGCUAAACUUGUGUUUUCAAAUUACGAAAUGUUUGGUAUUU
rnacentral:lncRNA from 1 species